UGACAUUGUCACUCUUUGAGGUAACAGAUGGGGUCCUCUUGCCCGAAUUCGGAUAAAACCAGUUUAACCCGACCCAGAUCUAUGCGAACCGACCCGGUUUGAAAAAAGGCGUCGGACAAUCCCCAAUCUCUCGUCGUUCGACGGGGCCAUUCGUUUCUCACUUUCCGGUUUUUCUUCGAUUUGCAACGUUGUGAAUGCUUACACAUCUAUGGGUAUGUUCUUGCUUUGUUAAAAAGCACGGAGCUUUACGUCCUUCUCUCAAGAAUUUCAGUAUCUUCCAUGAAACGAAUCCCUCAAGCUAACAAAGGAAAUCAAAGGCUUUUCAUUUCCUGUGUGAUUAUCAUAAAAAGGACUUCUUCUUGAAGACGAGAUUCUCGGUUCUGCGUUGUUAACCAUUGUUGAAAGAUAUGGCCUGUUGUGAUUCUCUCUGAGGCUUUCUUCUUCUGCCCAUGUGAGCUCCAUUCUAUGGAAGAAUGGCUCUUCCAUUAUCUCUUUCUGCUCUGAAGUUGAAUCUCCAAUAUAUGUUCUUAAUCCCAGUCUGUUGUCAAGCAUCUUUGGGGCUUUCUGAGUUCCUUCACUUGAGGUUAGGCAACUGUCCAGGGAGGAGUUAGGUGGAUACGUUUUUUGCAUCUGUUGAUGGUGUAGAUUCUGCAGUUCUUUCGGUUCGAGGAAACUAGAGUCUGGAUAGUCUGCUGAUACUUUAG
rnacentral:lncRNA from 1 species